CAAAUGCUCGUGUAAAAGAAGCGCCUCGUGUUGUUUUCACUGGCCUUAAUCCCAGAUCAGUAAGACGUAUGACUGACAAAUUGGUUGAGUUAGGUGGAGAUACAUCAACAUCGACUAGAACAUGUACACACAUUGUUGCUACUAAAAUAAUGAGGACCAUUAAGUUUCUAACAGGAAUCUC